rnacentral:pre_miRNA from 1 species
UCUUAUGGAUGAGUAAAGAAAGCGCUUUCUUAAGAUGGAGACUACUACUGGUGAAGAUGCUGUGAA